rnacentral:rRNA from 1 species
UUAGUUAGUUGGUGGGGUAAUGGCCUACCAAGNCCACAAUGGNUAGCCGGUCUGAGAGGAUGNNCGGCCACACUGGGACUGNNAUACGGNCCAGACUCCUACGGGAGGCAGCAGUGNNNNAUNUUGCGCAAUGGGGGNAACCCUGACGCAGCGACGCCGCGUGGNUGAUGAAGNNCNUUGGGUUGUAAAGCUCUGUCAACAGGGAAGAAGUUAUUGUAUUUUAAUAGAGUAUGAUAUUGACGGUACCUGUGAAGGAAGCACCGGCUAACUCCGUGCCAGCAGCCGCGGUAACACGGGGGGUGCAAGCGUUAUUCGGAAUUAUUGGGCGUAAAGGGCGCGCAGGCGGUCUUGUCAGUCAGAUGUGAAAGCCCGGGGCUCAACCCCGGAAGUGCAUUUGAAACAGCAAGACUUGAGUACGGGAGAGGAAAGCGGAAUUCCUGGUGUAGAGGUGAAAUUCGUAGAUAUCAGGAGGAACACCGAUGGCGAAGGCAGCUUUCUGGACCGAUACUGACGCUGAGGCGCGAAGGCGUGGGUAGCGAACAGGAUUAGAUACCCUGGUAGUCCACGCAGUAAACGAUGUUAACUAGGUGGUGGGGAUAUUAAAAUUUUCACUGCCGGAGCUAACGCAUUAAGUUAACCGCCUGGGGAGUACGGUCGCAAGACUAAAACUCAAAUGAAUUGACGG